GAUGAAGAACGUAGCGAAAUGCGAUAAGUAGUGUGAAUUGCAGAAUUCAGUGAAUCAUCGAAUCUUUGAACGCACAUUGCGCCCCCCGGUAUUCCGGCGGGCAUGCCUGUUCGAGCGUCAUUUCAACCCUCAAGCUCUGCUUGGUAUUGGGGGAUAGGCCCCGUUGGGGCCUCCCCAGAAAAUUAGCGACGGUGCUCCUGAGAGUCCCAGCGUAGUGACUUUUAAAUCUCGCUGUCAAGGACGUCAGUUUGCUUCUGUCGGAAAUUUUUUUUUUUUCAAUGGUUGACCUCGGAUCAGGUAGGGAUACCCGCUGAACUUAAGCAUAUCAAUAAGCGGAGGA
rnacentral:misc_RNA from 1 species